rnacentral:lncRNA from 1 species
AUGAGCAGUGCAAUUUUAAAUGAGUUUAUAAUAUUGUUGGUAACAACAAUCUUAAAUCUUAAUAAUUUCACAUUUAAUAUGGUAAUAUUGUGUAGCCCUGGAUCCAUAACAGCUAUUGUGGAAGAAAGUGCUGUCUCCAUCAACAGCUCUACAGGAAGAGAAGAGGGACACAUAUCCUCAUCAGAAGAAUUAACAGAUCUGAGUUCAGUGUCCUUGGAGAGUCUGGAAAGCUGCCCUGUAGCACUUGAAGGAAGUUGUGAUCCUCAUGGGAAGAAAAGACCUGCUUCUUCUACUGGGGAAGACCUGGAAAACUCCAAUAAGGGGAUCCCACCUAAGUUAAGAUGUAUACCAAAGCAAGCUGAUGAAAAAAACUCAGAAAAGUUGAACAUUUCAAAGAAAAUUAUAUCUACCUCUAGUUUAGUACCUGAACUAUACGCGAAAGAAGAAGAGCAGUCUCAGUCUUCUCUAAAUUUAGGGGCUCUGCAGUUUGGAGAAGCAGCUACGUCAGAUGAGCAAAUGUUAAGGAUGCUCAAUGUGGGAAAAGCAGACACAAUGGAGAAGCAAAUAAAUAUUACUGAUACUUUUAAAUCUGUACACUCUGAACGAGAUAGAAGCACAGAAGCCUUUCCAAAACCACCAUUAUCCAGGUCCAGUCAAAGAUCCUUUGGAUUUUUACCUUUGAUCUGUAAAGAUAAUGCUGAUGAAAUAACCAUUAAACCAAGUAAAGAGUUGCACCAGGGAAUGGAUACAGUUGUCUCUGAAAGGGUUCCUAAAUGUGCAGUCUCAUCAAGAGAAGACAACAAAGAAGCUCAAGAGAACAUUUCCCUUCCAUCAGCCAUCCCAACUUCUUCCACAUGUGAGAAAGAAAGCUGUUCUACUGUUCAGGUUUCUUCUGAAUUAUCUGACAGUGAAGGUUCCUCUAAAGAGCAGGAAAAAGAAGAGGAGCCAACAAAGAUCUCAGAGUACUUCUUCAGUGAUAUUUUUAUGGAGGUGGAUGAUUCAGAAUAAUCUAAAAACUUAAGAAGUGUCUGGUAUUAAAGACCCCCAUAUCCACAGGAGAUCCAACUGAUCUGAUCUGUUUGAUUUUGGUACAAGUAGUUUCUAGAUGCAUGCCUACAUUUUAGAAAUGCAAUGGAGAAUUUCUGUUUGACCAUAAACACACCACCUAAAUAUAUUAUGUACGUUUAUGGGUGCUGCCUGUAAAUUAUCUAUACUUCUUUUUGUGAAGUAAGCUUUUAUGAGAGGGAGGAUCAUUUAUCUCUGUAAAUAGGUGAAUUUUGAACAUUUCAGUGUAAUAAGUACAUGACUCAUUUUGAAUCAGCUUAUUUGAUGAAUUUUUAUAAUAAAUACAUUCAUAGCUUGGUUCA